rnacentral:rRNA from 1 species
UACGUAGGGCGCAAGCGUUAUCCGGAAUUAUUGGGCGUAAAGAGCUCGUAGGCGGUUUGUCGCGUCUGCCGUGAAAGUCCGGGGCUCAACUCCGGAUCUGCGGUGGGUACGGGCAGACUAGAGUGAUGUAGGGGAGACUGGAAUUCCUGGUGUAGCGGUGAAAUGCGCAGAUAUAGGAGGAACACCGAUGGCGAAGGCAGGUCUCUGGGCAUUAACUGACGCUGAGGAGCGAAAGCAUGGGGAGCGAACAGG